UAUCAUUAAAUCAAUUAAUCAGAAUUCUUUAAUUGAAUAUUAUUAAAAAAAAAUAACAGCAAUUGUCCUUAAAAAAGGGGGGAAAAUACAAUUAUAAAAGUGGACAAUAAUAGAAAGAAGAAAUGGGAAAAAAGAAAGAACAGAAAUUGGUUAAAGAGAGACAACAAAAACUCAUAGCAGCCAGCAGGGAUUGAGGUUGGGAUGCCAAAAUGAUGCCGACAAGGAGAAGUUGGUCACCGGUGUUUCCAAUGACAGGCUGUGAUUUACCUGUAGCGACUAAGGGCUCAAGGAGAAUAGCAGUAGCGACUAAUGAGAAAGGAAUGAAUUUUUUCUUCAAAACGUGACAACAUGUUGGGACCAGUCAACUGAUGAAAAUGAGAACAAGCUGGUCACCGGCGUUCUCAAGGACAGGUGAGAGAUGAAGAGACCAGGAAGAGUGGCAGUAGCAACAAGUGAGAAAGGAAGGAAUGAAUUUUUCCUUCUAAGCAUGACGGAACAAAG
rnacentral:misc_RNA from 1 species